UAUUUCCUGCCGCGUUCGAUGGUGUGCUGGGUGUUUCCUGAACCUAUAUUGACCCCGGGAACGAAUAUUUGUUAUGGCGUGUAUGCCCAUUCAUUUGGGAAACCCGAUUAACGAAAAGCGUUCCCACUUGAACCUUCGGUUCAAGGACGAAAGUACAUAACGGCGCAGGCGGGUCAUAC
rnacentral:other from 1 species